GGUGCAAGUGAUGGUUUAAAGCGAUCAAAGUAUGACCGUCGUGAUUCCAUCUUUUAUACGACUGAUGCGCC